rnacentral:rRNA from 1 species
GAAGAGUGGCGAACGGGUGAGUAACACGUGGGUAACCUGCCCAUCAGAAGGGGAUAACACUUGGAAACAGGUGCUAAUACCGUAUAACAAUCGAAACCGCAUGGUUUUGAUUUGAAAGGCGCUUUCGGGUGUCGCUGAUGGAUGGACCCGCGGUGCAUUAGCUAGUUGGUGAGGUAACGGCUCACCAAGGCCACGAUGCAUAGCCGACCUGAGAGGGUGAUCGGCCACAUUGGGACUGAGACACGGCCCAAACUCCUACGGGAGGCAGCAGUAGGGAAUCUUCGGCAAUGGACGAAAGUCUGACCGAGCAACGCCGCGUGAGUGAAGAAGGUUUUCGGAUCGUAAAACUCUGUUGUUAGAGAAGAACAAGGAUGAGAGUAACUGUUCAUCCCUUGACGGUAUCUAACCAGAAAGCCACGGCUAACUACGUGCCAGCAGCCGCGGUAAUACGUAGGUGGCAAGCGUUGUCCGGAUUUAUUGGGCGUAAAGCGAGCGCAGGCGGUUUCUUAAGUCUGAUGUGAAAGCCCCCGGCUCAACCGGGGAGGGUCAUUGGAAACUGGGAGACUUGAGUGCAGAAGAGGAGAGUGGAAUUCCAUGUGUAGCGGUGAAAUGCGUAGAUAUAUGGAGGAACACCAGUG